UGGGGAAUAUUGCACAAUGGGGGAAACCCUGAUGCAGCGACGCCGCGUGAGCGAAGAAGUAUUUCGGUAUGUAAAGCUCUAUCAGCAGGGAAGAAAAAAUGAUGGUACCUGACUAAGAAGCCCCGGCUAACUACGUGCCAGCAGCCGCGGUAAUACGUAGGGGGCAAGCGUUAUCCGGAUUUACUGGGUGUAAAGGGAGCGUAGACGGAGCAGCAAGUCUGAUGUGAAAGGCGGGGGCUCAACCCCCGGCAGCUGCAUUGGAAACUGUUGAUCUUGAGUACCGGAGGGGUAAGCGGAAUUCCUAGUGUAGCGGUGAAAUGCGUAGAUAUUGCGCAGAACUCCGAUUGCGAAGGCAGCGUACUGGCGCCUGACUGACGCUGAGGCACGAAAGCGUGGGGAUCGAACAGGAUUAGAUACCC
rnacentral:rRNA from 1 species